rnacentral:lncRNA from 1 species
ACGCUGCUGCCAGUAGUUGCACGACUCGAAUACCAUCUACCCAUCCUCUUCUUCACUUCACUCUCGCUUGACACACACACGCACACAUACACACGCACGCACACACGCACAUACACACACACACGCACACACACACAUACACACACAUACACACACACACGCACACACACACAUACACACACACACACACGCACUCACACACACAAACCACACACGCACACACACAUACAUACACGCGUGCACACAGAGACUCUCAGAUGACCCCUCAACCACAAGCCCCCUAGGCUAUGCCACCUAUCCAACCAUACGGAUGCACCCACAAUCGCACGAGGACAUGGACACGCACACAGCCCCCACUUACAC